rnacentral:rRNA from 1 species
GACCUCAGAUCAGGUAGGACUACCCGCUGAACUUAAGCAUAUCAAUAAGCGGAGGAAAAGAAACUAACAAGGAUUCCCCUAGUAGCGGCGAGCGAAGCGGGAUGAGCUCAAAUUUGUAAUCUGGCGUCCUCCGGUCGUCCGAGUUGUAAAUUAAAGAAACGUCUUCCGCGCCGGCCGUGUCCAAGUCCCCUGGAAUGGGGUAUCAAAGAGGGUGACAAUCCCGUGCUUGACACGACCACCGGGGCUAUGUGAUACGUUCUCUACGAGUCGAGUUGUUUGGGAAUGCAGCUCUAAAUGGGUGGUAAAUUCCAUCUAAGGCUAAAUACUGGCGAGAGACCGAUAGCGAACAAGUACCGUGAGGGAAAGAUGAAAAGCACUUGGAAAGAG